UUAAAGGUAUAAAUUUGUUUAUCUUGCCAGGGUACUACGAAUACAUGUUUAAAACCCAAAGGACUUGGCGGUGCUAUAAUCCAACUAGGGGAACCUGUCCCUUAAUUCGAUAACCCACGAAAAUCUUACUUAUCCUAGGAAUACAUUAUCAGUUUAUAUACCGUCGUCUAGCCGGCCUUUACGAGAGAAAAAAAGCUGGCAAAAAAGGUGAUUCCCUAACAAGACAGAUAAAGGUGUAGCCGAUGGAUAAAGGGAAGGAUGUGUUACAAUUAAUAAAUCGAUAUUGGAACCUUAAUGAAAGUUUAAGGGGAAAGAGGACUUAGAAGUAAUCCCCCAGUAAACGUUGGAGGGUGAAUCGUAGGGCUCUAUAGUGUGU
rnacentral:rRNA from 1 species